AGUGAACGCUGGCGGUAGGCCUAACACAUGCGAGUCGAACGGCAGCACAGUAAGAGCUUGCUCUUACGGGUGGCGAGUGGCGGACGGGUGAGGAAUACAUCGGAAUCUACUUUUUCGUGGGGGAUAACGUAGGGAAACUUACGCUAAUACCGCAUACGACCUACGGGUGAAAGCAGGGGAUCUUCGGACCUUGCGCGAUUGAAUGAGCCGAUGUCGGAUUAGCUAGUUGGCGGGGUAAAGGCCCACCAAGGCGACGAUCCGUAGCUGGUCUGAGAGGAUGAUCGGCCACACUGGAACUGAGACACGGUCCAGACUCCUACGGGAGGCCGCAGUGGGGAAUAUUGGACAAUGGGCGCAAGCCUGAUCCAGCCAUACCGCGUGGGUGAAGAAGGCCUUCGGGUUGUAAAGCCCUUUUGUUGGGAAAGAAAAGCAGCAGGUUAAUACCCCGCUGUUCUGACGGUACCCAAAGAAUAAGCACCGGCUAACUUCGUG
rnacentral:rRNA from 1 species